UUGGCAUCCAGGCCCAGUCGCAGUGAGAGUGCCUGUGACAGAUCUUCGGGUCCCCUUUAGGUGAAGGCAGUGCAAAAUAAGAAAAAAACAGGAAGGAAGGAUGGAGUGCCCAAAACACAAAUUACUUUAACAGCUGCCAAGAAGCUUGUUCUGAAUGUCAUCCUGUUGAUUAAUUCCUUGGGAAAAUGGUUCAGCUGAUAGGAAACCAAUGACGGCAUCAAAGGAAACUUGUCCCAUGAACAGAAAAUUUGAUCUGAUGUACUGUGAGUCUUAAGACCUUGGCAACAGCUGGAUUAUGACUGAUAUCUGGUAUCUAAGUAAGGAUUUUGACUGCAGCUUCAGAUUUUACAUGCUUCAGUUUUGAUGUUUAAUAUGAG
rnacentral:lncRNA from 12 species